CGAUAGAGGGAGCAAAAGGGAAAUGAAAACAAAAAACUGAGGAGCAGAAAUGGGAGUGCAGGGUGGCUGGCUAUUCCUUCUCCAACACAACUUUGAAGUGCCGCCCACCUAAGUGUCCCCAGUGAUUGACCUUCCACCAAACAUAACCCUAAUAUCCCAACAAUCCCCAGAGGCUUGAAGAAUUAAAUUUCACUUCAAAACCAG
rnacentral:lncRNA from 1 species